rnacentral:piRNA from 1 species
AGGUUUUGCUUCAUGGUGAAUUUACAGA